GAUGAACGCUAGCGGGAGGCUUAACACAUGCAAGUCGAGGGGUAAGGUAGCAAUAUCUGAGACCGGCGCACGGGUGAGUAACGCGUAUGUAACCUGCCCUUUACAGGGGGAUAGCCCGUCGAAAGGCGGAUUAAUACCCCAUAAUAUUAAGCUGCUGCAUGGUAGUUUGAUAAAAGCUGAGGCGGUAAAGGAUGGGCAUGCGUGACAUUAGCUAGUUGGUAGGGUAACGGCCUACCAAGGCUACGAUGUCUAGGGGUUCUGAGAGGAAGGUCCCCCACACUGGUACUGAGACACGGACCAGACUCCUACGGGAGGCAGCAGUGAGGAAUAUUGGUCAAUGGGCGAGAGCCUGAACCAGCCAUCCCGCGUGCAGGAAGACGGCCCUAUGGGUUGUAAACUGCUUUUGUGCAGGAAGAAUGUACUCAUCGUGAUGGGUAUUGACGGUACUGCAUGAAUAAGCACCGGCUAACUCCGUGCCAGCAGCCCGCGGUAAA
rnacentral:rRNA from 1 species